GAGGCGACGACCGGGGCGGUGGGGUGUUUGCCAGUACCUCCCCGCUCUGUUUGGGGACCGGGAGCAGGGCGGGUGGCGGCGGGCUCCGCAGGAGGCGGUGAAGCGCCUCCGGGAAGGCUCCGGGUGAAGUUAACCUGAAACGGACAUUCGUGAGCUCCAUCUGCCACCAGGUAUUAGGAGCUGAGGAGAACCGUCGCUGUAACUGUUGGGUUCUCAGCACCUUGCCCGUUGCAGAGAUCCGCUCCUCGCUGGCACAGAGAAAGUCUGCAAAGGUGGAUCUUUAGCAGAAGUUGUGAAAAACACGUGCAUUUGUCAGCAGACAAAAGAAAAAGGUGACUGAAUUUUUGCCGCUCUGCUGUAAGACCAGUAACAACUUGGGUUCUGGCUGACUGGCAGAGCUGCAAUCUCAUUCUAGCAACGCUGAUAAGCAACUGACCAUGAGAAGAGAACUUCAGCAUUGUGAGACCAGUGGACUGGCUAUCAAAAAAAUUCCUCACAAGAUGAUAUAUUGUUGCCUGAAUUUUUAACAACUGGCACAGAAAUACCCUACCUUCCAAGUAAACUGCCUCCCAAAAGAGCUGGGUAAAUCUCAGAUGAGCCAUCAGCUUGA